rnacentral:snoRNA from 1 species
UAAUAUGAUGAUUAGCUUUCCACAGCUUCUCUUUGUCCGGCGAUGAUUUCUUAAAAGAAAUAUGUGCCAAGGAUAACAUUACAUGCAUCACCAUCUGAUA